AUUGAACGCUGGCGGCAGGCUUAACACAUGCAAGUCGAACGAGUGGAGGACGGGAGAGUAAUGGUGGGGAAUCUAGCUUAUGGAGGGGGAUAACUACGGGCAACUGUAGCUAAUACAGCGUAACAUUGGAUGUGCACAGAUGUGAUUAGCUAGUAGGUGGGGUGACGGCUCACCGAGGCGACGAUCCCUAGCUGGUCGGAGAGGAUGAACGGCCACACUGGAACUGAGACACGGUCCAGACUCCUACGGGAGGCAGCAGUGGGGAAUAUUGCGCAAUGGGGGCAACCCUGACGCAGCCAUGCCGCGUGAGUGAAGAAGGCCUUCGGGUUGUAAAGUUCUUUCGGUAGCGAGGCGUUAACUACAGAAAAAGCACCGGCUAACUCCGUGCCAGCAGCCGCGGUAAUAC
rnacentral:rRNA from 1 species